rnacentral:rRNA from 1 species
GUGGGGAAUCUUCCGCAAUGGACGAAAGUCUGACGGAGCAACGCCGCGUGAGUGAGGAAGGCCUUCGGGUUGUAAAACUCUGUCUUCAAGGAAGAAUGUUAUUAUUGAGAAUAUUGAUAGUAAAUGACGGUACUUGAGGAGGAAGCCACGGCUAACUACGUGCCAGCAGCCGCGGUAAUACGUAGGUGGCAAGCGUUGUCCGGAAUUAUUGGGCGUAAAGAGCGUGUAGGCGGGUAUUUAAGUCAGAUGUGAAAACUUGGGGCUCAACCGCAAGAUUGCAUUUGAAACUGGAUACCUUGAGGGUAAGAGAGGGCAGUGGAAUUCCUAGUGUAGCGGUGAAAUGCGUAGAUAUUAGGAGGAACACCAGUGGCGAAGGCGACUGCCUGGCUUACAACUGACGCUGAGACGCGAAAGCGUGGGGAGCAAACAGG